GUGAUUGUAGUUCAGUUGGUUAGAACGCCUGAUUGUGGUUCAGGAGGUCGCCGGUUCGAAUCCGGUCUUUCACC
rnacentral:tRNA from 1 species